rnacentral:RNase_P_RNA from 215 species
GCGGAGGGUUGGAUGGCCGCGAGGCUUUUGUCUCGAGGAAAGUCCGGACUCCCUGAAGCAACGGUGCCGGGUAACGCCCGGGCGGAGCGAUCCGACGGAAAGCGCCACAGAAAACAGACCGCCCUCGUUCGCGGGGGUAAGGGUGAAACGGUGGGGUAAGGGCCCACCGCGCUUCUGGCAACAGCGGCGGCACGGCAAGCCCCACCGGGAGCAAUGCCAAAUAGGGAUUUCGCGGGGCCAGACCCCAGGGCCGCUUCAGCCCGAGAGGUCCGGGUUGGCAGCUAGAGCCAACGGGUAACCGUUGGCGUAGAGGAAUGGUCAUCUAGGGCGGCAACGCCUGGACAAAAUCCGGCUUACAGACUCUCCGCGCGA